rnacentral:rRNA from 1 species
UACACACGUGCUACAAUGGACAAUACAAAGGGCAGCUAAACCGCGAGGUCAUGCAAAUCCCAUAAAGUUGUUCUCAGUUCGGAUUGUAGUCUGCAACUCGACUACAUGAAGCUGGAAUCGCUAGUAAUCGUAGAUCAGCAUGCUACGGUGAAUACGUUCCCGGGUCUUGUACACACCGCCCGUCACACCACGAGAGUUUGUAACACCCGAAGCCGGUGGAGUAACCAUUUAUGGAGCUAGCCGUCGAAGGUGGGACAAAUGAUUGGGGUGAAGUCGUAACAAGGUAGCCGUAUCGGAAGGUGCGGUUGGUUCCCCUCCUUACCUCCAUUA